UAUUAUUGUUACGUUAGAAAAAUGGACUGGGGCAAGUCUACCAGCUAUCGUUAAAAAACUUUUUUCUAGAUAUUCACAUUAGAAAGUAAUGAAGUUUCUAAAAACAAAAAGAUUAUACCGCCCUCUGGAGGAUCAAGGAUUACUUCAAUCAGAGUCUAUCAGUCAUGAAGGCGAUCUAAUAAAUGAACACUCUAUUUCUUCUUCAACUCUUCGAAAUAAAAAUAAUUCUUUUCUUCGACUAUUAGAUAGUUACUCUAUGUUAACGGAGAAACUUUGGUAUGAUGUUUAUAUACCCAAGCUGGAUUCUAUUGUUGUUACAAAAAAAAAAGUUGAUUUUGUUCGUGAAUGGCUACUUGAGAAAAUGAAGAAAAAACAAGAAAAAAAGGAAUUUCUUUGGUUGAGCGGCCCUCCUGGCGGCGGAAAGUCUACUCUGAUUAAAGCUUUAGCUUCCCAACUCUCUAUUGAAGUGUGUAGCUUUACUCAUGCGGUUCAGCUUAGUAGUAAAAAAAUCAAUUCUUCAGAUCGCGAAUUUGCUUUUCGCUCUUCACUUGCCUGCUUUGCUGAAUUUUUAAAAUCUCACGAACGAUUUUCAUCUCUCGUGAAAGAUGAC